rnacentral:rRNA from 1 species
GGAAUCUUGGACAAUGGGGGCAACCCUGAUCCAGCGACGCCGCGUGGGUGAUGAAGGCCUUCGGGUUGUAAAGCCCUUUCACCGGGGACGAUGAUGACGGUACCCGGAGAAGAAGCACCGGCUAACUCCGUGCCAGCAGCCGCGGUAAGACGGAGGGUGCUAGCGUUGUUCGGAAUCACUGGGCGUAAAGGGCGCGUAGGCGGCGUCGCAAGUCGGCUGUGAAAGCCCGGGGCUCAACCCCGGAGGUGCAUCCGAAACUCAAAGGCUGGAGGCCGGAAGAGGAGGGUGGAAUACCCAGUGUAGAGGUGAAAUUCGUAGAUAUUGGGUGGAACACCGGUGGCGAAAGCGGCUCUCUGGUCCGGUCCUGACGCUGAGGCGCGAAAGCGUGGGGAGCAAA